CAACUGGACGCUGACCGCUGUGGGGCAAAAUCAGAUUGGCUGGAGAGAAAGGCCAUUUGCCCCGGGACUGGUGAACACCGUGUGUCCCGCCAAGGCAGGCACCGUGGCCUCUGCUCGGAGCCCCGCGGACAACGGGGCCAAGGGGAGACCCGGGCGUGUUCCGAGAGCUCUUGCUGUCCUAGGAGGCCGCGUCUCCAGGCAGAGCGUCCGCAGGGCCGGGGACAGUGCCGGCAGGGCUGGAGGACGGUGCCAGCAGGGCCGGGGACGGUGCCAGCAGGGCCGGGGAUGGUGCCGGCACGGCUGGGAGAUGGUGCCGGCACAUCAGUCACUGCUCUGGCAACGCCCCUGCCCUCCGCUCGGCUCCGUUACUUUUUAUUUAUUGUAAUGACUUCAGCAAUAAGAUUUGUUUCCCUGUUAUAUAUAUGACCAUGCAGAGUAACAAAAAACAUAAUAGCCAAGAAGAGUUACGCUUCUUAUUUAUCUCCUUGGCCGUUACUGGGCCGGGGGGAAGGGCGGGGAGCAGGGAGGAGCCGUAAAUAGAGGAGAACGCGCUUCCUGGGGAGGAAGCGUAUGGAGGCCCAUUUGCAAGAAGGUAGCAGGGCAAUGGGGCAACCGGGCCACCGACUCACUCACAAGGGCUAGGGCAGCUCAGAGGGAAGUGACCGAGGCAGAGGCCACCUGAGGCCAGGCCGGGGAGGGGGCCUGCAUCACCAACCAUUACAGGUCCUGCUCAUAGCUCCCACCUGGUGGGCAGAAGGUUCCAGAACCACAGAGCAUCAGGCCCUGGGUGGGGCAGUGCCCUCUGGCCUGCCGUGGAAGAGAGAGUCUCUGCUCCCACUGGCUGUAUUUCUCUGGAUCCCGAGGCUGGGGCGGAGUGGAGAAGGGACCUGGGCUUGGCACAGGCUGCACUGGCACAGGCUCCCUCAACAGCCCCAGAGGCGCCCUGAGGGAGGCUCUGGGCCCACCGUCGCCAGUUGCUAAGGGAGAGGAGCCGCAUCGUUCCGUCCACGCCAAUGGACCGACCACGUCUGUUUAAAGGAAAAGGGCGCUUGCUGCAGCCCACGUUCUAGGCGCCCUCGCCUGCUGCGUUUUCUGCACAAUUCGUUCAGGCCUGGGGCCACUCCAUCACGGCCAAGCACAAGGACGACCAGAGCUUUACCAAGAGUCUACUCAGAAGCCUUCCCUGCGGAAUCCUACCCACUCGGGGCUCAUCCAGGGACCUCUCUGAGACACCACACAUGGGAAGCAAGAAAGCGACCAUUUCCACAGCUCUGCUUGGCCGUGCAGAGCAGUGAGGGCCAUGGAAACGCAGGCACCAAGCCCGGCUCAGUCCUCAGCUUUGAACCUCGGGCAUUGAUGGUGAUGCUAAUCGUGAUCCGGCAAGUCACUUUGGCUCAGCAAGGUGGAGUGCACCGCGCACCCUCCAGAACCCGGACGCCGACCGCUCAUGGAGCCCACACGACUCCUGUGGCCUGGGCCCAGCCGCGAGGUACAGGCACAGCCCGCUGCCCCUUCGCAGCCUCUCUAGCCCCUUCCACCGGGAGGGGUCUUGCAAUGUCCUGCACCUCCCGGCCAGGAUCUGAGAACUCCUGAGCAACUCAGAAGGAAAGAGCUCAAGGCAGCACACAGCUCAGCACUUUUAGAUUAAAUUCGCGUCUGUCCUCCACACAGGAACCUGGGAACAAAAGCCGCGAGACGAGAACAUUCCUGCCGCCGUCCGGCUGUCAGGGAAGGCGCUGCAGCCUCCUGGGUGGCUGAGUGGGGCCAGGAGGCGGGGGACAGAGCCACAGCGCCUGGGUCACAUGUCUUUUCUCAUUGUCAUGAGGGAGCAAAGGGCGGAGACUGAAGACCCUGAGCCCACUCCUCACAGAGCCCCACGCACAGGGCAGAACCGCAGCCCUCUUUUCUCUUUUCAGUUAAUUUGUUUGAGAGAAAGAGAGAUUCCAUCUGCUGGUUCACU